rnacentral:rRNA from 1 species
UACGUAGGGUGCAAGCGUUAAUCGGAAUUACUGGGCGUAAAGCGUGCGCAGGCGGUCCGUUAAGUCAGAUGUGAAAUCCCCGGGCUUAACCUGGGAACUGCAUUUGUGACUGGCGGGCUCGAGUAUGGCAGAGGGGGGUAGAAUUCCACGUGUAGCAGUGAAAUGCGUAGAGAUGUGGAGGAAUACCGAUGGCGAAGGCAGCCCUCUGGGCCAAUACUGACGCUCAUGCACGAAAGCGUGGGGAGCAAACAGG